rnacentral:lncRNA from 1 species
UUUUUUUUUUUUUUUUUUUUGUGUUGGUGACGCUCUUAUUUUUACAAUGUGAUUUACCAUACCACGAUAUGGUAUAUCACAUUAUGGAAUCUCCCUUGAUUUUGCAUGCAGAAGAUAAUUGUUGACCACGAUGGAGCUAGUCCUAGAAUGCCCAUUUCCUAAUGCGACUUGUGAAAUCAAUUCAUUUCAUUAGUGUAGUCCAGUACUACCAUACGCAUGUCCGCUGCUCGACAUUAUGAGCACAAGAAUUCUUUAUUUUGAGGGGAAGGGAUCCAUAGGAAUCUGUUUGGAUUACUAUUUUCUCACAGUUAAUGUGUAGAAAUCUUCCCCGUACUGGCACUCAGGUAGUUGCAGACGUAUGUGCAAACAAGACGGUGAAUGGUAACUAAAAUUGUCAUUUGUGCCCACAUAAUUAUCUGAACUCAAGUGAACUUAGGUGCAGCCAGUCGUAGCAGUGCGAAAUUUUGAAACCUCACAGAGACUUUUCCAAGUAAUCAACGGUCUCUUGAAACGUUGAGGUCAUACAGCCUGUCACGUGUCAGUAUUAAGGUUCUUCAACCACUUGACGUUGUUGCCAUCACGCAGCUGCAUAUAAUACUACCAUGUCUGUCUGAAAUUAUUACCGACUGCAGGACAUAAUAACGCACUCCAGUAUAUGUCUCCCCGAGGCCCGACUUAUCCUCUUACAAGAAAAUGAGUUUAUGCAGGGUUAGAUCAGAGGAUAUAAUUAGCUUCCUCUGCCUCCUGCGGGUGGUCAGGCUCAUCACGCCAAAACAUUUCAUUGCAUCAAGUUAGCACAUGAAACGAUACUAUCAUGCGCUAAAACAAAAGACAAGACUCAUAUAAGCAAAUAAGUCAUUAAAUAUGUGAAACUGAUAUGAUGUAAAUUCCAUGUAAUCAUCUGCUUGGCACAGGAUUAAUCUUUUACCAGUGGCAUUAAACAUGGUUCUGCAGAUUUUUAAGAAAAUGCCCUGGAAACAUUAGGACAAUCUGGUAAGAAGUAUAAACACGAUUAUUAUGGUACAAUGCUUUAGAAGAAACUGAACCCAGAAACACAGUCAAAUUAUUAUUGGCACUGAAAGCAAGAGGUUCUUCAUCACUCACAGUAAACCUGUGGUAUAUUUGGAAAUCUGUCAAUUAUUGCCUAUAAACCAGAUAUACGCGUGAAUCACCCAAAAUUGAACCUUAUAUGCAUCUCAUUCAAUAAAUAUAAUUGGUGUCCAUGAAGGGACAAAUGUGCUGGUUCACAGAUAUUGCCAAGCCGGAAAACUCGCUGACAACAGUUUCUAUAUCAAAAUAGUACCAGAAAAAGCAUCAUCUUUAAAACUAUAAACAAUUCUUGUAUGAAUACCGUACCUGAUUGAAAGUCAGCUAGUCUCUCUAUACUGAUCACUAAAAAAAGAUACAUGAAAUCCUGGUCUCAACUUCUACCAUCAACAUCAAAACCCGCCCCAGUCCACCCAGGUGCUGCAGAACCUCUACCCUUGGGUACUGCUCCAAUUCCCUUUCCCCUCCCUUGUAGCACAGUUUUUUUCUUCCCUCUACCUUCAUUGUAUGCAGGAAGCCCUUGGUUUCCAUUUGUUAUUGGACCAUGUCCUGCAUUACCUUGACUAGAUAUCUGUCCAGAAGAUCCAUUAGCUACUUGCACACUAGCUGUACCUAAGGCAGCAUCUUCAGUUCUAUUGCUGGGUGAAUGUUCCAAUGGAACACCAUCCUGAAUAAGAAUUUAGCCAUAUUAAGAAGGAUGCCUCAUGGAUGUCAACAUGUAAUUAUAUGCAUCCACAUGAAUUGCACUUGUAACGCAACCAAAUUCAUGUUAAAAAGAGCUCCUUGAAUUUUACAGUAGCCCCAAAAAGAUGAAGGUUCUAAAACAUCAAGAAUUUCCAACCUGAACCAGUUAUAGUGCUACUACCCAUAAAAGGAACAGAAGUCCACUAACUUGUUUAUAUUUUCAUCCAAAUGUGUGAAGUAUACCCUGCUACUUUGGGUAAUUACUGCAUCACCAUGUGGGCUACCUAAUAUCAUCGUGUCUGUGAUAGAUUAAUACACUUCAAACUUCAGAAGAAUACAUAAACAUGUCACGCACAGCAUAUACAUGUGUAUACUCAGCAAACACUGCAUCAAGGAAUAUGGUUUUUGGCUUUUAGCUGAAAGCAACAGCAUCUUAUUGUACUUUCCAAGAUAGUAUUUCUCACCCCUGAACUCCCUCAAGAUUUCUGCAAUAAAUAGGAAAGCUAAGAAUUCUCCUAAUACCACUCAACCUUCAAGAAACUUGCCCAAAAGGAUUUAAAAUUAUGAAAAAAAGUUUUUGAAGAAACAGACUUGCUUGAAUGGCAUUGAAAUUUCAGAACAGUCAAAUCACCUCCCAAGAAACAACACUAAAGCAAAAGAACUCACAAUUGGGACAGAUGCGGAUGAUCUGCUAGGAUUCAGAGCUUCCAGCCGCCUUUUCAAUUCCUCUAGUCUAGCUAAUUGAGCAUUACUACUCUCUUGUACCUGCAGAGAAAAAUUGUAUUCAACAGGGCAGGGAAUGUUAAGGAAAUUUCAAUGCAACAAGUGAUAACAUCUACCAGGUUAUUCAAAUCUUCGCAAAGCUUCUGCUUAAAUGCUUCCUCAUCUUUUACUGCCUUUGAUGCUUCUUCCCAAGCCUGAAAUUCAAAACGUGAUAGCAUGAUCAGAAGAAAGCUUUAUAACUAAUAGGAGAAAUGGUUGAGGAUAUCCAGCACUAGGAUCCAUUUGAUUCUAAGGUCUCACUCAUGGAAAACAUGAAAAGCGAAGGGUUCAGCCCCCACUUGAAAAACAAAGCCACCAAAUGGUAGGGGGAAAAGAAAAACAGAGUUAUUCCCUCCAAGAGAUCAAUCCAGAUUAUAGUUGGACAAGGACAAGUUUUUGAAUAGUCUCAAUUAGCUAAUUAGUUUUGCGGAUCAAAGCAACUAAAUGAGAAAAACAAUGCUUUGGAUUAUGAAACCCCUUUUAACAUAUUGGAUGAAUUGCUGCACAUUUCAUGCCUACUCAAGGUGUGCCAAGCAGUUUAGCAGCUUAUGAUAUUGACACUCGAACCAAAUGACAGCCAACAAGUUAUUGGCAUGAACUUACAUAAUUCAAGUCUUCCUCUUGUCACUAACCAGUUUGUUCCUUAAUCUUCCAGUUCAAGACAGAAGAUCGCUAACUUUUGACAGUAAAUAAAUUACAACAGUGUUAUAUGAGGGGAUCUAUUUGAAUGGAAUAAAUAUUAGAAAAAGUGGUUCCUCAAUUGACUGCAAGAGACUUCAUGAGAACAUUAGGCACAAAAAUAUCAAAAAUCAGAAUAUAGUUUCCAAAACAAAAAUACAAGAUGAGCAUGUUUUGAAGCAAAGAGAUGUAAGCCAAAUGAAUCACAUAUCAGAUGGAACACGCACUAUGUUAGUAUCCACUUAAAAUGAUUCAUCAAAAAAAGACAAACCUUUCUUGCAAGUUCCUCCUUUUGCCUAGCAAGACGAAUUUUCUCAUUCGAGAUUUCUAUCUUCUUUCUCAUGUGCUCAAGAGCUGAUGUAGUAUUGAUCCAUGAGAAGAACAUAGCCAGUCAGCUAAAUGCUUCAAAAGAUAUUCCAGAAGUAUAAGAAGUAUCAAUGACAGCACAUUUGACCUGCUUUUUUUGGGCCAGAUGUAAGUUUCAUCUCCAUGGAAAGAUUUGCCAAUUCUCGUUCAACAUCUCGAAUCUUGGAAUAGUUUUCCUGAAUGUACCUGAGAAAAAAAUAUAUAUACCACAGAGGAGUAAAAAUAACUGACAUGAAAAUUUCAGCUAUGAAGAUGAUGCAAGAUAUAACAGAUACUAUUUGCACAAAGCAGCCGGGUAGCCUUGGAUGUCUUAUAGAUCCAUCACAGCAUAGCAAGAAAGAGGUAUGGUACUUAUGAACCCAAACUAAAACAUGUCUUAACCUUAUUCAAACCGUAGGCAAAGAUUCAAAAGAGAAAAAAUUUUACACUCUUAACCAAUCUCCCCUUGUCAAGAUAUCAAACCUAAGGCGCUUCUCUAAUACUUAUAGACAUUUAUUGGGCACUGGAAAGAGAUGCUUGCAGUAAUCUGAUAUCCCAUGGAAACAGAAAGUUGGGAUUAGCUUGGUCAGUGUGGAGUAAGAUAAACAGAAAAAUAUGAGUUUAUAAAAGGGGAAAUAGAUUCACUAAACACUACAAGACGGAUGCACUAGAUUAGUUGGUAGAAUGGAUGAGAGAUGAGAGAGAAAAAUUACUAGAAGGCAUGAAAGAAGCAUAACGUAUCUCUCUAAAAUGACAGUUGAAUUGAUAGGUGAGAGGAAAAAAAGAAAUAGGUACAAGUAUGGUGAAGAAUCACUCGUGAGAACCCCUUCUAUGGAUCUGGAUGGACACCUUUCAAGAAAUGAAGCAAGAGCUCGACUUAGUUAUCAGGGUCAUCGAUUUAAUAUAUCCAAUUACUCUCAGACUCUUAAUCAUUUGUUGAUUAACCCCACCCCCAUAGGGAAAGCAACUAUGAAUAGUGCCACAGAUAUGCAAGCAGGGAGAGAAUUUAAAUGAUGAGGUUAUUGAUAACAACGAAUCACCUACAUCAGCUAAGGGUCUGGGUGAAAGGCCAUUUUUCCUUUUCUAUUUAUUGUUUAUAACGUUCUUCUUUCCAAUUAAAGCUGCUAAAUACAGUUUUUCUGAGUCAAACUCAGGUUAAUUACGGUCGGACACUGCAAUAAGGGGAACGAUUCAAAUAAGAUAAAAUGUAGGACACGAUGGAGGAGGAGAAAUGUUUCAUUCAGGUAAAAGUUUGACUAACCCUAAAGCAACUACAAAACAUAUUAAGAAGUAAGAUAGAAGAACAAACUUUGAAGAAAGGAAAAAACAAAGCUCAAAUACAGAUGAAACAAAAAGUGUUCUAGUAUGGAAACGGAAUCAUAAGAAGAAGAAAACUGAAAUAGCAAAAAAUCUAGAGAGAGAAUGAUAGAAACGCAAGCAUGAAAACAAAGAGAGAGAGAGAGUUUAAUAGCAAUGCAAGUAGAGAACGGAGUGGGAUGGGCAAAAAAGUGAACAUACUUUUGCAAUUGAAGCUGCUCUUCCUCGAUUUUCUGAAACAACGCCCAAAACCAAAAACCAGACUCAAUUUGUAAAUUUGAAUCCAAAACCAAAAAAUAUAUAUCUAAUAAUAAUAACAAAAAUCAAGUAAACACGCUGACAUUUCAAAGCAGUACAGAGGGGGAGAAAGCAAGGAGUUACCUGUUCGGUGUAGGCAAUGACAGGAGAUUCUCGACGGAGGCCAUCGGGUCCGAUCUCGGGGAUAGCAACGGCAUUGGCCUCAGGAGUGGGAUUGGGGUUGACAUUGGCAGCCAUAUCGGACGAAGACGGAAGGGUUAGAUCUUAGGAAGGAAUGGACAAUGAUGGGAGGGAUGAUCGUCCGUCUGACGACGCACACAAGAAGCCCAGUACCACCACCACCACCACCACCCAGAUUGAUUAUUGAUUAUUGACUAUUACUAGAAGUAAGUAUAAGCAAGCAAGUUGAUUUGUAAAUCCGGCCCCGGCAACUCAUAACUGGGUAACUGGAAAGGGCUUAUUCUCUCUUCGCAAUCCCACUAUUGAGUUCUUCCAUUGCCCGCCGGCCGCUGCGUGUGAUUAAUAUGCACUCUACUUCUGCCCCCAAAAAAUAAAUAAAUAAAUAAAGUUUUAUUUAAAUUUCACGUUUUGAUUGCAAAUGCACAUGCCGACGGCGUUGGGUGGGCAUUUCGCAACGCAAGCAAGAUGGCCGUGCUAGUGACUGUUAAUUUCCAUUUUGUUUUUCUUUCUAUUUUCCCGGAUUGGAGUCAGUAGUAUUAAUUAUUAAAGCAGCAUUUCUUUUCUUUUCUUUUUUUCUUUUUGGGAUAAUUGCAGAAACGUCCCCUAAGGUUUCUGAUAUUAGCACACACCUCCCUUGUGGUUUAGAAAAUAGCACUUACCACCCUUGAACUUAAGGUUUGUGUUGCAGAUUUAGUCCAUGCCAGAAAAGUUACCAUUAAAAAAAAUUUUUAAGGAGUGACAUGAGAAAUUUGUACCAGAUUUGCCCCUCAUGCUACUUGCCAAGUUAUAUUAACAGAGGAAUGACAAAAUAUUAAAAAAACUAUUAUGAUUUAGCAAAAUUCAAUGGGUGUAAGUGUAAUUGAAUGAAAUGUACAACAAUACAUGAAACAACGAUGGAUACUAACGACUAGUUAAAUGAUUAUAUAUCCAGAUUCUUGCAGCAAAGUUUAUAAAGAAUACAUAUCACUUUUUAAAUUCCCUAUUAGUAAUACGAAUAAUUAUUUGUAGGGGUAACACAACUGCUUAUGUUGUCAGCACCAAUCAUAUACAAAAAAUAUCUCUAAACAAUCAGCUAAUUAACAGCAUAUUUAAGCAUCACUAAAAGUUACUAAAUAUGAGAUAAGCCUAGUUACAAGCAAUUAGAAAUGCAUACUAAUAAAAUAAAGUUGUUUUUAGUAAAUGAAAUUUGUUGUAAGUGUAUUAAAACUAUGUACUAAAAUUACCGCUGCUGCUGAUCGUCCGACGACGCACACAAGAAGCCCAGUACCGCCACCACCACCACCCAGAUUGAUUAUUGAUUAUUGACUAUUACUAGAAGUAAGUACAAACAAGUUGAUUUGUAAAUCCGGCCCACGGCAACUCAUAACUGGGUAACUGGAAAGAGCUUAUUCUCUCUUCGCAAUCCCACUAUUGCGUUCUUCCUUUGCCCGCCGGCCGCUGCGUGUGAUAAAUAAAUAAAUAAAUAAAGUUUUAUUUAAAUUUCACGUUUUGAUUGCAAAUGCACAUGCCGACGGCGUUGGGUUGGGAUUUGGCAACGCAAGCAAGAUGGCCGUGCCCGUGCGUGCGCGCGAGUGAUUGUUAAUUUCCAUUUUGUUUUUUUUUUCUAUUUUCCCGGAUUGGAGUCAGUAGUACAGUAUUAUUUAUAUUUAUUAAUUAAAGCCGCAUUUCUUUUCCCUUUUUUCUUUCUUUUUUAAUUUUCUUUCUCAUUAUCCCAGGUGGGAGGAGCUAUCAUUUUCUUUUCUUUUUUUUUUUUCAAACAGAAGGAAAAAAAAAAAAAAAAAAAGGGUCGAUCGGCAAUACAGCAUUAUAUUAGAGCUUUAACCGAUUCUGCAUUAUUUUUUUUAAAAAUGGAUUCUCAAAUUAGUCGAUCGGUAAUGUAACGUUGUUAAUGUAUGCCUGUCAUUUACUCGUUUUCAAAUUUAAGUGACAGAAAAUGGCUUUACUAACUUCAAUUCUUCCCCUCUAAAUGUCUGUCUAUAAGCCAAAUGAGUGAACCUUUUCUCUGGCUACGAGAUCAAAGAAACGGUAAAACCUUUUCUACUCAUCAGCCCAUACGGUGAUUAAAGGAACACUGGCUACAACCUAAUUGAUGUACUAAAGUAGUUAAAUGACCAUUUUUUCUAGUGUUAACACGUAACAGACCAGCAUUAACCGGUAACCAACAAAACACACACUCAAAAAGCACCAUUGCUUUUUCAAGUGCUAGAGCUUCCAUAGUUCUGAGAUUUUGCAAGCAUACAAAUGCUGGAAUUUAUCAGAAUUGACUAUAGUGCAUGCAUGAACUGGUAGAUAUGCCGUCCCACAGUUACAGUUGAUUACACCAUCCAUUCAUGUUGAAUGAACUUCCAAUUUCCCUAGGACGGGAUCAGCUUGUGUCUCUUACCUACCAGCAGGCAAGAAGAGGAUUUUUUACCUCCUUCCUCGGGAAGAUGGAGAAACAGCAUUUACCGAAG